rnacentral:misc_RNA from 1 species
GGAAGUAAAAGGUAACAAGGUUUCCGUAGGUGAACCUGCGGAAGGAUCAUUACAGAGUUCAUGCCCUCACGGGUAGAUCUCCCACCCUUGAAUAUUUAUACCUUAGUUGCUUUGGCAGGCCGUGGAAACACCAUGGGCUCCGGCUUAUGCGUGCCUGCCAGAGGAAACAAACUCUGUUUUUAGUGAUGUCUGAGUACUAUAUAAUAGUUAAAACUUUCAACAACGGAUCUCUUGGUUCUG